ACAACGAACUCCUCCGAACUUGUCUUCAUCUCUUUCAACAAGAGAGACAACACGAUGGUCUAAGAAUGGUGCAGCAGUCUGGUGCAUCAGCUUUCGGAAAAUUCAGGGUCAAGGAUUGACUAUUCUUGGAGACCUUGUUCUGAAAGACAAGAUUGUUGUUUAUGAUUUGGCUGGCCAAAGGAUUGGAUGGGCUAACUAUGACUGUAAGUUCCCAUAUCAAGAGCAUUUUCCAG